rnacentral:tRNA from 1 species
GUGCCCAUAGCUCAAUUGGAUAGAGCAUCUGACUACGGAUCAGAAGGUUGCAGGUUCAACUCCCGCUGGGCACA